CUCAAAUUUGAAAUCCGGCCCCCCUGGGGGCCUGAGUUGUAAUUUGCAGAGGAUGCUUCGGGCGCGACCGCGGUCCAAGUCCCCUGGAACGGGGCGUCGUAGAGGGUGAGAAUCCCGUCUCCGGCCGGCCGGUCUCGCCCGUGUGAAGCUCCUUCGACGAGUCGAGUUGUUUGGGAAUGCAGCUCCAAAUGGGUGGUAAAUUUCAUCUAAAGCUAAAUACUGGUCGGAGACCGAUAGCGCACAAGUAGAGUGAUCGAAAGAUGAAAAGCACUUUGAAAAGAGAGUUAAACAGCAUGUGAAAUUGUUGAAAGGGAAGCGCUUGCGACCAGAGUCGGCCGCGGGGGUUCAGCGGGCAUUCGUUGCCCGUGCAAUCCCCCGCGGCCGGGCCAGCGUCGGUUUCGACGGCCGGUCAAAGGCCCCCGGAAUGUGUCGCCUCUCGGGGCGUCUUAUAGCCGGGGGUGCAAUGCGGCCAGUCGGGACCGAGGAACGCGCUCCGGCACGGACGCUGGCUUAAUGGUCGUCAGCGACCCG
rnacentral:rRNA from 1 species